GAUGAACGCUGGCGGCGUGCCUAAUACAUGCAAGUCGAGCGAAUGGGCCUGGAGCUUGGUUGUCCUUUGAUACCGGCGGACGAGAUACAAACUAGUGGCUAACCUAUCUGUAACACUUGGGUAACCUCCGGAAAAGAUCGCUAAAACACGUGGAAACUUUGACUAAUACCGGUCAACAGUAGAUGACGCCUUUCCUCUGUUUAAUAGAUGGUUCUGCUAUGCAUUAUCUAGUUGGUAAGGUAACGGCUUACCAAGGCAACGAUGCAUAGCCGACUUGAGAGAGUGAUCGGCCACACUGGGACUGAGACACGGCCCAGACUCCUACGGGAGGCAGCAGUAGGGAAUCUUCCGCAAUGGACGAAAGCCUGAUGGAGCAACGCCGCGUGAGUGAUGAAGGGCUUCGGAUCGUAAAGCUCUGUUAUUAGGGAAGAACAAAUGUGGAAGUAACUGAGCACAGCUUGACGGUAAUUAAUCAGAAAGCCACGGCUAACUACGUG
rnacentral:rRNA from 1 species